rnacentral:tRNA from 1 species
CGGGAGGUAUUUCAAUUGGUAGAUGGGGUGCUUUGGGAGCAUCCGGCUGCAGGUUCGAGUCCUGUCCUCCCGA